rnacentral:tRNA from 1 species
GGGGGUGGUUGUGGCCCGGUGGCUGCCACGGUCUUCAAAACCGCUGGCCGGUCGCGCAGAGCGGGCGGCGGUGGGUUCGACUCCCAUCCAUCCCCGCC